rfam:Mus musculus chromosome 5, GRC primary reference assembly.
AUAUUCCGACAAUGGACAAAGAGACACCUUGGUGGUGGUGGUGGUGUUCUUAUAUCAGUCAGAAGCAGAAAGAUGGCAGUCCUUUGUUCAUCCUAGUUUGAUGCCUGGCUUGGUGGCCAAAGGUGUUUUGUGCCUAGAACUUAUAA